rnacentral:rRNA from 1 species
UACGUAGGGGGCAAGCGUUGUCCGGAUUUAUUGGGCGUAAAGAGCGUGUAGGCGGCCAUACAGGUCAGCUGUGAAACUCGAGGCUCAACCUCGAGACGUCGGUUGAAACCGUAUGGCUAGAGUCCGGAAGAGGAGAGUGGAAUUCCCGGUGUGAGCGGUGAAAUGCGCAGAUAUCGGGAAGAACACCCGUGGCGAAGGCGGCUCUCUGGGACGGUACUGGACGCUGAGACGCGAAAGCGUGGGGAGCGAACAGG